rnacentral:rRNA from 1 species
UACGAAGGGGGCUAGCGUUGCUCGGAAUCACUGGGCGUAAAGCGCACGUAGGCGGAUUGUUAAGUCAGGGGUGAAAUCCUGGAGCUCAACUCCAGAACUGCCUUUGAUACUGGCGAUCUCGAGUCCGGGAGAGGUGAGUGGAACUGCGAGUGUAGAGGUGAAAUUCGUAGAUAUUCGGAAGAACACCAGUGGCGAAGGCGGCUCACUGGUCCGGUACUGACGCUGAGGUGCGAAAGCGUGGGGAGCAAACAGG